rnacentral:misc_RNA from 1 species
GCCUAUUCUCUGGCCUGUUC